ensembl:lncRNA
AGGAAGAUGCCGCUCAGCAAGGAAGAAGCCACUGCUCCAAAACCGGCAUAAAAAAAGCCAGACUAUGGUUUGCAACUGCACAUGGGGACAAAGGUUGUGCUUUUUCGAGAAAUGUCCUCUGGUCUGAUGAAACAAAAAUAGAACUGUUUGGCCAUAAUGACCAUUGUUAUGUUUGGAGGAUAAAGGGGAGGCUUGCAAGCCGAAGAACACCAUCCCAACCGUGAAGCACAGGGGUGGCAGCAUCAUGUUGUUGUGGUGCUUUGCUGCAGGAGGGACUGGUGCACUUCACAAAAUAGAUGACAUCAUGAGGCAGGAAAAUGAUGUGGAUAUAUUGAAGCAACAUCUUAAGACAUCAGUCAGGAAGUUAAAGCUUGGUCGCAAAUGGGUCUUCCAAAUGGACAGUGACCUCAAGCAUACUUCCAAAGUUGUGGCAAAAUGGCUUAAGGACAACAACGUCAAGGUACUGGAGUGGCCAUCAAAGCGCUGACCUCAAUCCUAUAGAACAUUUUUUCCAGAAAUCUUGCUUGUAGGUGACCAAAUGUUUGUAGGUGACCAAAUACUCCACCAUCAUUUGCAAGUAAAUUCAUUUAAAAAAAAUCCUACAAUGUGAUUUUCUGGAUUUUUUUCCCUCAUUUUGUCUGUCAUAGUUGAAGUGUACCUAUGAUGAAAAUUACAGGCCUCUCUCAUAUUUUUAGAUGGGAGAACUUGCACAAUUGGUGGCUGACUAAAUACUUUUUUGCCCCACUGCAAGUGGGUUAUGUCAAGGAUUUCCUCCUCUUCUUCCGAAGAGGAGAGGCGAAAAGGAUCAGAGGACCAAUAUGCGGCGUGCUGACAUGCUACUCCCUCCACAGUGACCUGGUGUGUGUGGAUGUCAGGGGGCUGUUUCUGCAGUAUGGGGGAGUGUCUGUCCUCUUAGCCCUGCUCUGAGGGGGAAAGAAGGGGCUGCAGACCCCCAUAGACAUCCUACUGCAGCUCAGUGCAGAGUCACGGUAUCUGUCUGAGUUCCGGCCUGCGCGCACCACUGAGGACUUGUUCCAUACAGCAGCUGUUCUUGUGAAUAGCCCCCAGACUAGAACUUCCUCUUCUGG